AAGAAAUUAGUUAAAAAAAAAAUAACAUUAGUAUGUCAUACUAAAAUUAUUAUAAAUAUAAUAUUUCUUU
rnacentral:tRNA from 1 species